rnacentral:lncRNA from 1 species
UAGUUGUUAAAUCCUGCAAAAAAUUAUCUGGGUACUUCUUCUCCGAUUUGGUUUCGCAAUAACCACCAUGGCGUUUGGUUAGGUUUUUGUUAUGUUUGUGGUUUUGGGAGGGCUCUAAGUUUUGUGUCGUUAGUCUGUUAGUUUUCUUUGCCAUGACAGGUCUCUCCACCUCUCCGCCUGCUGAUGGGAGCUUCAGUCCCUCCGAUCCUCAAGUUUCAGACUGAAGUUGACCGACGAUUUCCUGCCUUUGUCGUUGUUUUGAAGCCGGAUCUUUAGUGUUAUGCUCGGGUGAAGGGACCGGAGCUGAGCUGUUGAAACAUCCCUUCCAUCUGCCAAUACUUCACCGGUGCCUUAUCCGCUGACUUCUCCUAAGCGGUUUGGAUUCACAUGGAGCCGUCUUCGUCGCCUUCUGGAGUACUUGAUAUGGUGUGGACUUCACCGGAAGUGAUGAACGGACCAGGAAUUUGUCAAUUCUGCUUUGCAUGUCCGUCGCUUUCAGGACAGGUGCCUCAUAUUGUUCUCUGAUUGUCUUUGAUCUUUUACUUUUUUUGUUGAAGGUUCCGACAUAAAGCUUAUGUUUAGGUUUUCUGAAACUUAAUGGUUGUCUCGAAACCUCACAUUAGCUAAGGUUUAAUCACAAUCAUAAAGCUUUAGUCACAUCUUUAUCAUUGUGAUUAAACCUUUUUUAGAGUCUUUUUAACCUUUUUGAGGUUUUUUAAGGCACCUUUUCUUUCAUUAGCUUCUUAGGUACGCUAUAUUUGGGGUUCGAAUGGUAAAAGCAGUUCAAGCGGUGCAGAUCAAGCAUAUCAUGCAGAUCAAACAGAUCAAGAGCAGAUCAAGCAGAUCAUGUGGGAGAAAUGCAGACCAAGUAGAUCAACGGUUGGACUGGUCCAACCAGAUUUUAAAUUUAAAUUUUAUAUUAAAUUAAGUAAUUAUAUAUAUAAGUAUUACCUACAAAAUUAUUCUGAUGCAAUUUUAUCAUUGUUAGAAUCUAAAAUGAUAUCAAAAUAAAAUAAAAUAAUAUAAAAUAUGACAAAAUCAAUUUAUUUAAAUGUUUAUUAGAAAACAUAUGAAAUUUUUAUGAUUUUUAUUAAAUUACAAUUUUUAACUUAAUUAAAAACCAGCUUUUAAUAUCGAACCAGGUCAUGAUUUUAGCAUGUUUGACCGGUUUUUGAUUCGAUUUACCGUUAUAACUCAAAUCCGGUUUUUAACACAACCAGAAACAAGUCAAAAAAUGAGUCACAUUCUAACCAGUUUGAUCUACCGUUCCACCGCUCCGGUCCGAUUUUCAAAACAUUAAUUACAGUUUAUAAUGAUAAAAGCAAUUUAAAAAAAUAUUAUAUAUUUAAAUAAUAAAAAUAAAAAUAAUAUACAUAAUAUACAAAUACAAUACAUAAAUAACAAUAAAUAUUUCACUAGAGUUAUGUUACUAAUUUUUUAAAAUUAAAAAAUGAAAAUACUAGUAAUUAACCAAAUAUUUAUAUUUUCCAUUAACAAGAAAUCUCAUUGUCUAUUUAUCUCUCUUUUUAUAUGAUAUGUGAAUUUUUAAUUAUGUAAAUGUAUAAUAUUGUAGUUUAAAUAUGGUUAGUAUUAAAUAUAAAAGAUUAUAGAAGAUUAUUAAAUAUAUUAAUCAUUGGUAAUAAAAUCAUUUAUUGGUCAAAAAAGAAAAAAAUGUCCCAUCACCAAAUAGUAGUGGACAGAACUUCAUGUGGGGGAUUUGCUUUUUUCAGAAAAAGACAAAACAUUCUGAACUGCCUACAGUUCUCCUGCCAAAUAAAUUUUAAAAACCGAAAAUGGUGAAUGAGUGAGUGUCCGAAUGGAGGAACGGGACAAGUGCAGUUCUCUCGCACUACAUUUACCAUUCAUCAUUUUCUGUUUGCAAAAGCAGUUCAAGCAGAAGAUUUGCAUGGAGUUCAAUAUUUUUUAUCUUUUUGUGGAAAAAGCAGGAGAUGCAGAUCUCACCCGUCAACAUUUGGUGGUGUUGAUCUUUUUUUUUUGUUUGGUAAAUAAAUAACUUUGUCACAACACUAACUUUAAAAAUAUAACUAUCUAGUUUUAUGAAUAUAAUAUUUUAAUUUUAUUUUAUUUACAACUUUAACAAUACAAAAUUAUCAUUCUCUAUUUAUCAUAUUUUGUCAUAUAAUUUUUAAUUUUCUUAAAUAAAAGAAGGAUAAAUAUCUUAUAAAACAUUUACAGGUAUUUCAGGCGAUCUUAUAACAUCUAAGAUAUUUGUUUAGAUAUUUAUGUGUCAUUUUUAUUGUUUUAAUAUAUGAUCUAUAAUUUUGAACUGAUUUUUUCAUUCAUAAGUUAUAAUAAAUUAUUUGAUCGGUUUGAUCUGGUUUUCUCCUGUAUGAUCCGCUUGAUCUGCACUUGUCCCGCUUGAUCUGCACUUGUCCUGCUUGAUCUGCAUGAUCUGCUUGAUAUGUCCCGACUGAACUGCUUUUACUAUUCGAAGCCUGAUUCAAGUGCAGUUCUCCUGCAAUAGCAGAUGGUUUGCCUUUCUCCUGCCUCUCAUUCAUAAUCUUGAUCUCAUCAUAACUACAUGUAUCUUUCUUUGUCAUUAUUUUCUUAAAGAAAUUCAGAUAUUUAUAAAAAAGAAUGGGAAAGAAGUCAUAUAAAACGCAUCACUUGACCAUCAUAUUGAUUCAUUCAUCAAUAACUCUAAAAUUUAUAUCCGAAAGAAGACUAAAACAAUCUUCAAUGUAUUUUGUUAUUUUCACUUCUAAAAUAGAAGAACUACAUAAUUGAAGUGAAAUAUGGUUUAAUAUAUUCAUCUAAAAUAGUAAUUUCUAAAUAUAAAGAAAAGAUAAAGGAUGCUAUUUCUUUCUCUAUAAAUAGAGAAAAAUAUAGAAAUCCAAUAAAAAAAGAAAUAGAGAUAUGUUUGAUCAAUUUUAUUUUUAGAUGCUAUUAUAGAGGUGGAAAUAACAGUAGGUUGGAGAUCUUAUGAAGCAGGAUGCUGUUUCUUCUUAGUGUGCUGUCAAAUGUCUUCACGUUUCCCAUUAACCAAUAAUAUGAUUCGUAUGCAUUGUUAACCAAUACCAUAUUAUAAUCAAAUAUCAAUUGUAUUUUAAGGUAAUACUUCUAUACACAUUUGUUUUGUAAGGAGAAGUAUGAAGGAAAGAUUGACAUUAUUCCUUGAUUCAUUAGUCUUUGUUCAAAUUUUAAAUUUUAUGAUCAACUAGGGAUUAGCCCGCCGUAGGGCGGGUGACCAAAUGUUGAAGUACAAUAUAAAAAAAUAAAUUGAUUUACAGUAAAAUUAACAUUAAUUUUAACUACAUAUUUUCUUAAUUAUUUUCAUUAUUAGUUUAUUUUUUGUUUUUUUUUAAAUUAUAUAAUUGAAAAAGUAUUUGUUAUUUUUUGCUUAAGUAUUUUCCUACUUUGAACAUAAUAAUAAGUAUAAUGAAGUUUAUAAAUUUUACUUCAAUUAUUUCUCUUUUGUUAAUUUUUGUUUCUUAAAUUCAAUAGUUUGUCUUUUAUAUAUAUUUUUAGGAAAAUGUAAAUUUAGACAAAACAAAAAUAAAUAUCUAAUUCACGGUAAUAGAGAAAAUAUUUUAAAUUAGGUACUUAUUAUAAAAAUAUAAUAUAUUAACAAACUCUUUUGGUGAAUCAUGUAUGUGUAAGUUCCGCCUGUGCGUAUUUAUUUCUACUUGCUCACAUAUGUUGUAGUGCUUUUAUGUGACAGUUUUGAGAAAGGUUGUUGGGUAGCUGUUAUUUAAAACGGAAUCCUCGCCUUCAGAGGCGUGUCUUGUUAGGUUGUUAGACUGAUGGUAAGAUCAUCUGUGGGGCUUGAUUAUAUUUUAUCUGAGUUUCUCCUCAUAGUUGUGUAUCAGCUAGUAUGUGUUGUAGGUGAUUGUUUUUGUCGCAUUUUGGGUCGAGAAAUUGUUCGAAACCAUAGAGAGCAUAUGGAGAAUAAUUACUGAUAGUCUGCCACGUAGAGGAUAGUAAAUUUAAAAUAGUCACCAUCUUUUAGCUCUCAAAACUGAGGUAGACUCUCUGCAGUUUAUUGCUAAAGUUAUCUUCAAAUGUGCUGGUGAGGUGCUCACCUCUUUUUCCAGUCAUUAGUAUAUUCAAGCAUUUGGCAGGUGGGAGGAAGUUAUAAGAGUUGGUUCCUCUUACCUAUUGACAAAGAGUUCGGGAUGGAACAUUUGUUUGGAACGUUUUUUUUUCAAACGUUCGGGAUGGAACAUCUCCUCCGCAAAUUACUAUUCAUCCCUGUUUAAAAGUUUGAUCCCUGGUGAUCAAACCAGAAGAUCCGCAGAGACCACUUGCUGACUAUUUACAAAACGAUUUGAAAUUCUAGAGAAGAAGAUGAGUGAUGAAUGUGCUGAAAAGUAGUACUACGUAAGUAUCUUUUGUACAAAAUCACUUCACAUGUUGAUGCAGCUUUGGUUGCAGGGAAUUAUCUACUGCCUAUGACUGAUCCCCUAUGUAUCUUUUGUGAGCAGUUUAAGAGAAGAACUGAACGUACCUUACAUGAUAUUGCCAGUGCGACAUAAGGAUGAGCAUGAGUGCC